AUUGAACGCUGGCGGCAGGCUUAACACAUGCAAGUCGAGCGAGCGGCGGACGGGUGAGUACUGUCUGGGAAACUGCCUGAUGGAGGGGGAUAACUACUGGAACCGGUAGCUAAUACCGCAUACCAUCAGAUGUGCCCAGAUGGGAUUAGCUAGUUGGUGAGGUAAUGGCUCACCAAGGCUAUGGCGCAUACCUGGUAUGAGAGGAUGAUCAGCCACACUGGAACUGAGACACGGUCCAGACUCCUACGGGAGGCAGCAGUGGGGAAUAUUGCACAAUGGGCGCAAGCCUGAUGAAGCCAUGCCGCGUGUGUGAAGAAGGCCUUCGGGUUGUAAAGCACUUUCAGCGAGGAGGCGUUACUCGCAGAAGAAGCACCGGCUAACUCCGUGCCAGCAGCCGCGGUAAUUC
rnacentral:rRNA from 1 species